UGGCGACCGGCGCACGGGUGAGUAACACGUAUCCAACCUGCCUCAUACUCGGGGAUAGCCUUUCGAAAGAAAGAUUAAUACCCGAUGUUAUAGUCCUACCGCAUGAUGGGAUUAUUAAAGAAUUUCGGUAUGGGAUGGGGAUGCGUUCCAUUAGCUAGUUGGUAGGGUAAUGGCCUACCAAGGCGACGAUGGGUAGCCGGCCUGAGAGGGUGGCCGGCCACACUGGGACUGAGACACGGCCCAGACUCCUACGGGAGGCAGCAG
rnacentral:rRNA from 1 species